AUUGAACGCUGGCGGCAUGCCUUACACAUGCAAGUCGAACGGCAGCACGGGUGCUUGCACCUGGUGGCGAGUGGCGAACGGGUGAGUAAUACAUCGGAACAUGUCCUGUAGUGGGGGAUAGCCCGGCGAAAGCCGGAUUAAUACCGCAUACGAUCUACGGAUGAAAGCGGGGGACCUUCGGGCCUCGCGCUAUAGGGUUGGCCGAUAGCUGAUUAGCUAGUUGGGGGGGUAAAGGCCUACCAAGGCGACGAUAAGUAGCUGGUCUGAGAGGACGACCAGCCACACUGGGACUGAGACACGGCCCAGACUCCUACGGGAGGCAGCAGUGGGGAAUUUUGGACAAUGGGCGAAAGCCUGAUCCAGCAAUGCCGCGUGUGUGAAGAAGGCCUUCGGGUUGUAAAGCACUUUUGUCCGGAAAGAAAUCCUUGGCUCUAAUACAGUCGGGGGAUGACGGUACCGGAAGAAUAAGCACCGGCUAACUACGUG
rnacentral:rRNA from 1 species